GGGCGGGGGUUUGAGGGGGAAGGAAUCAGAAAGGCAGAAAUAACCGAUCAGCGGCUCCUACUUCCUUAUGCCUUCUACUUAAACCCCGCUCCAAAGGAAAAUUCCUUACUUGGUUUUUAUUUAUGGUGGCCAAUAUUUUGUUCGUGUUGGGUGCCAUUCUUGACUCGCUGGGGGGGUGCGGGCUUACCCAUCUAUUUCGGGUUUACCCCCUUGUUUUCCCACCAGCCCCCAUCCUACCUGUCCCCGACCCUGAAUCCUGGGGGACGCUGCAUGGGGGAAUAAAGCCAAAUGUGCAAAACCCUGGCUCAGCAACGCCCUGUGGGGGAUGUCGGCCUUCCGGUUGUAAACCUUCAUUCCACCAGGGCCGCCGCGGAGUUCAAACGGGGUUAACGGGCUUGGCGGAAAAGGACUUAAAAACAUGUUCCCCACUUGUGGGGGUACGUAGGGACUCUUUUUGGUUGGGCUAUUGGGCGUAAUCACCUGGGGGGGGUUUAUGCGUUUGCUGGGAAAAAAGCCCUUUACUCUCGUUUUGCUUGGACCCGGGCUGGUUGGUGUGGUUGGGGGGGAUUGAAUUCCUUUGUGCUCCCCCGUGAAAUUCCCCCCUAUCAAGAAGGAAAAGCCGCGGAGAAACCGCCGUUUUCCUCGGCGUUUUUCUCUUCCGAUAAAAGGGGCAAAUUCACCGGGGAAAACAAAAAAAAAUAAAAAUCCUGGGAAUAUAUGUUGAAAACGCCUGGGCCCCUGGGGGGGGGGGAAUUUUUAACGCCUGUUCUUUUUCCAAAAAAAAACGAUUAAACCCCCCCCCACUGGUGUUUUUACCCCCCAAAUAGUUUAAAAACCACAAGAAAAUAACCGAGGGGCCCCCCCCGCCCUGGGGGGCAAGUUUUUUUUUUUUUUUUUCCCCCCAAAAACCUACCCCCAGGAUAGCCCCCCCCCCCUCCGCCCGUGGAGAAAAAAAAGUGUUUUAUUACAUUAGGGGGGAUACCCCCCCGCCGCGGCCUUGUCUCCUCCUGUUUCUCCAAAAGAUUUGAUAUUAAAUCCAGAUCCAGACAAAACAUAUUUGAUGUGUGCUCUCCCAUCCCACAUCUUGCGUUCGCCGAUAAUGCCGGCGGGCCCCCACAUACCACAAUUGUUGGGAGGAGGUCCCCACCAAACCCAUAUUACACUUGUUUUGUCUUGUGCGUCUCCCUCACCCGUUACAAAAUAGUGCCCGACACACUUCUCCCCUGGCGAAAAGCAGAGAUACAGCUAGUAUCGUCCGAAAUUAGCCCGCCCUCUAUAUUCCCACAGC
rnacentral:rRNA from 1 species